GCCAGUGUGGUGCAGUGGUUUGAGCACUGGACUGUGAGUCUGGGGAUCAGGGUUCGAUUCCCCCGCUUGAGCA